GCCGAACUGUGUAACGGCAGUUUGUAACCUAAGGAGGGGCAUUAAUGUGAUGGAACUAAUGCCUUAGCUAAGCUCUUGGGUUAGUCUAUAUUGACUUAUAUGCUGAGUUUGGGACUGUUUGGCCAUCAUAUUA
rnacentral:SRP_RNA from 1 species